GGCAGUGUGGUGUAGUGGUUUGAGUGUUGGGCUAAGACCCUGGAGACCAGGGUUUGAAACUCUACUCAGCCA